GAUGAACGCUAGCGAUAGGCUUAACACAUGCAAGUCGAGGGGCAUCGAGGGUAGCAAUACCUGUCGGCGACCGGCGCACGGGUGAGUAACGCGUAUGUAACCUGCCCGCAACAGAGGGAUAACCCGGCGAAAGUCGGACUAAUACCUCAUAAAACAGGGGUUCCGCAUGGGGCUAUUUGUUAAAGAUUUAUUGGUUGCGGAUGGGCAUGCGUACCAUUAGGUAGUUGGUGAGGUAACGGCUCACCAAGCCAUCGAUGGUUAGGGGUUCUGAGAGGAAGGUCCCCCACACUGGUACUGAGACACGGACCAGACUCCUACGGGAGGCAGCAGUGAGGAAUAUUGGUCAAUGGGCGAGAGCCUGAACCAGCCAAGUCGCGUGAAGGAUGACUGCCCUAUGGGUUGUAAACUUCUUUUACAGGGGAAUAAAAUGAGAUACGUGUAUUUUAUUGCAUGUACCUUGUGAAUAAGCAUCGGCUAACUCCGUGCCAGCAGCCGCGGUAAUACGGAGGAUGCGAGCGUUAUCCGGAUUUAUUGGGUUUAAAGGGUGCGUAGGUGGGCUGUUAAGUCCGCGGUGAAAGUUUGUCGCUUAACGAUAAAAUUGCCGUUGAAACUGGUAGUCUUGAGUAUAGAUGAAGUAGGCGGAAUGCGUGGUGUAGCGGUGAAAUGCAUAGAGAUCACGCAGAACUCCGAUUGCGAAGGCAGCUUACUAAGGUAUAACUGACACUGAAGCACGAAAGCGUGGGUAUCAAACAGGAUUAGAUACCCUGGUAGUCCACGCAGUAAACGAUGAUUACUAGGAGUUUGCGAUAUAGUGUAAGCUCUACAGCGAAAGCGUUAAGUAAUCCACCUGGGGAGUACGCCGGCAACGGUGAAACUCAAAGGAAUUGACGGGGGCCCGCACAAGCGGAGGAACAUGUGGUUUAAUUCGAUGAUACGCGAGGAACCUUACCCGGGAUUGAAAUGUAGACGACGGAGAGUGAGAG
rnacentral:rRNA from 1 species